UACGUAGGGCGCAAGCGUUGUCCGGAAUUAUUGGGCGUAAAGAGCUCGUAGGCGGUCUGUCGCGUCCGUUGUGAAAACUCGAGGCUCAACCUCGGGCUUGCAGUGGAUACGGGCAGACUAGAGUGCGGUAGGGGAGACUGGAAUUCCUGGUGUAGCGGUGGAAUGCGCAGAUAUCAGGAGGAACACCGAUGGCGAAGGCAGAUCUCUGGACCGAUACUGACGCUGAGGCGCAAAAGCGUGGGAGCAAACGAGGA
rnacentral:rRNA from 1 species